GACGAACGCUGGCGGCGUGCCUAAUGCAUGCAAGUAGAACGCUGACGGCGGAGCUUGCUCUUCUGGAGGAGUUGCGGACGGGUGAGUAACGCGUAGGUAACCUGCCUGGUAGCGGGGGAGAACUAUUGGAAACGAUAGCUAAUACCGCAUAAGAGUAGAUGUUGCAUGACAUUUACUUGAAAGGUGCGAUUGCAUCACUACUAGAUGGACCUGCGUUGUAUUAGCUAGUUGGUGGGGUAGCGGCUUACCAAGGCGACGUUACAUAGCCGACCUGAGAGGGGGAUCGGCAAAGCUGGGACUGGAGCACGGCCCAGACCCCUACGAGAGGCAGCAGGAGGGAAUCUGUGGGGAAGGACGCAAGGCGGACCGAGCAACGCCGCGUGAGUGAAGGAUGUAUUAGGAUCGCAAAGGUCUGUUAUAAGUGAAGAACGAGUAUCAGAGUGGAACGGUCAGACUGUGACGGUAUCGUACGAAAAAGAGCCGGCUAACUACGUG
rnacentral:rRNA from 1 species